rnacentral:lncRNA from 1 species
CUUUUUCGUCUGUUCAUGCAUUCAUUGGAAACAAAUGAAUUCUCUGUAACCUGCUAUACAUAACACUGCUGCCAGUAAAUAAAACAUGAGUGAAAUGCGUUCACUUAUUUUCAUAUAUAUGAAUUACAACAUGAUAAAUGUGCUUUUAAAUUCAGUAACACACACUACUCCGUCCUAAAAAGUACUACUCAUAUGUUAUCAUGUAAUAACAAUAAAAAUAUUAGUCAUAUUUUUUUUAAAUAAGACGAAGAAUUAAACAUUCUAUCUAAAAACUGAAAAAUUGACUUAUUUUGAGAUGGAGGUUGUACAUCUACUGCGUCUUGAAUCAGAACAUUAAAACGCAUAGCCAAAAUCCUGCAAAUAUUAGAGUUUGAUCUAUAAAUAUUCAGCUAUAAGGCAAUUGAACUAAUAAGAAGAAUCAAAUAUUUAAACAUUUGAAUAAUUUUUAGCUUUCAUUUCACAUAUCCAUAACAUGAUAUUUUAAAUCAAAUCAUUUAUAUUAACUUUACUUUGAAUUUUGGGACUUUCAUCUGUAGCCACAUUUAAAUAAACAAAUAAAUUAAAGAGGUUACUUUUUUUACCUCUGUUUUCCUAGAAAGGCUAUGUAUUGGCAUUACUUCUUUCCUUUUCUGCUGCAACUAAAUUAAGAGGAGAAAACAUAAAGCAAAUACAAAACUGAAUGGCAGGAUUAUUUUUAGGUCUCACUACACUCUAAGGUGAUACCUUGAGCAACAGACUGUUUUGUACAUCAUUGUUUCCCAUUCUGGCAUAACGACAAAUGGCCAAUAUGAUCGCUUAUAUACAUCUUUUUGCAUAUUUUGAAUUUCAAUUUUUAAAAUUUUCUGUUCUUUUUACUCUGCCAUGCAGACAAAGAUCCCCUUCGGAAGCAUAUUAUGGGUACGGACAUCCCAAACCCAAGAAGCCUCAACCAGUGGUUGCUGAGACCACUAGUAGGCCACACCUCCCAAUUCAGUGUAGUCUCAAACUCUCAUCUACACCUAAGAAACAAGUCGACAUGUCCAUUACAUCUCUACAUAAAUCAUGGUCCUCACUUGAGACGCUCUUUGCUUUGGAGUUUGUUAAUCUAGAACAUGGGAUUUUUUUGUUAGCUCAAUUAUUAUGGAACACGCCAUCCCAAGAUGUGAUCUUGAUCAUAGUGUCUAGAAAUAAUGACGUGUCACUCUCUUACUCUUUUUGAAUAGCAACUAUGACAUUCUAGAUGUCACAAUCUUUUUGAAGACUCACCAUUGGAGCUUCCCUAUUGGUGUGAUGUACUUGUGGCGAUGUUUUUCUCGAAUUGAGUUCUAAUGCACUGAUGAUGGCAUGAUUUUGGUCACUAAUUAGGGCAUAUAGAACAGUGAGACGAUAGUUGUCUAUGCAUCAACACCAGAUUAAUCAUCCUACGUGGUAUCAUUAACUCAACAAAAACUUAGACGCUGUCUCUUUGUUCGUCUACUGCUUGGGUACGUGCUCCUAAGUUGCAUGCAAUGUUUCCUAGAAGAAAACGUCAUGUAUUGGUUGCAUGCAACAAAUACAAGACAUAAAAAAUAGUGUAUUAAAUGUUAUACAGGCAAGCAAGUAGGCUAUCAAUUGUACAAUUUGCAUGUCUGUUUAGCUGUUUGUAUAUAUCAAAUAGACAUCGGUUGUCUAUACCGUUGUACAUGCCUUUACUCUUCGGCGUAAUGUUCUAGAUAGGAUUGAAAUUCGGUCGACGCAAAGAUCGAAGCUGAUUUUGGAGAUUCUCCUUUUCUACUUUGAAGAAGACAAGAACUAUGUACAACUUAUGAGCCAUCGGGAGAAAUAACAGGUGUUGAAGUAAUUUUAAAGAUUACCAUAUUCAAAAAGAGAAACGAGAUGAUGCAUAAGAUAUUACUGAUAAAAGGGGAAUAUCUAUGGACAUGAACUUAUACACAACCUAGUAAGCUCAGGUCUCCUGGUAAGCUGAGAUAGAAGGCAAGGUACUUCUACCGCUCUCUCUAUUUUUUUUUAUUUGACGUCAUUGACUUUUGAGUUUACAUGGAUCAUUUGUUAUAUUCAAAAAUUUUAUAUAAUUAUUAAUUAUUUUAUUAUGAUUUGAUUUAUUACUAAAAACACUUUAAGCAUGGCUUUUAAUUUUGCAUAUUUACACAAAAAAAUUUAACCAGACGAAUGGUUAAAUGUAGAUUCAAAAGUUAAUGCAUCAACAUAGGGAGUACUCUCUAAGAGAAUCUUCAAGAGAAUGGUUAUCUCAUUUGCCAUACUUAAGUUUAGCAAUUUUGCACAAAAAAAUAUCCUCUAAGAGAAUAGCUAUUGACUUGCCAUGCCAUUUGAAUGGCUAAACUUGAGUCCUUGAUGACCAAAUUUGGCAAUUUAUUUUAACACUAGCAAAAUUGCUAUAAGUGGGUCCCAUAUGGGUGGGACCCUCUUGUCAUCCUCCUCUUACCAGGAUUUGGAGAGUGGAGAUGGAGUCUCUUGGAGAUGUUUUCAGAAUUCGAGUUGCCAAGACUAAAAUAAAUGACUAUUUGAAGAGUCAGAAUUUAGCCAUUCUCUUGGAGAUGCUCUAAGACCAGGUUUUCCAACACUAUCAGUAGCUCAGUGGCAAUUAGCAUCAGCAGAAUGCAACAUUAAGGCAACACCGAAGUAAUUCGAAUGUGAUGUCACUGACAGAAGGAGAAUAACUAUGACAAGAAACAAGUGCAGAAUCACUAAGGCCAGAUCUUCAUAGUAGGAUGAGACUUUGCAGACCUUUGCUACAUGUGUCACAGAACAUUUGCCUAAAAUCUAGAGGCACAACUUAUUAGAUGGUUACAUAUAAAAAUAAUGCAAAAACACAUUUAAAAAGGUGUCACCUCUGUUUCAUGAAGACAUGUUAGCUACUCUUGUUUGGCUCACAAAGACUUCAUUUUCUCAACAACUAUUGUAUUACAGUUUGAUAAAGUAGAUGAGUUAAGUGUCUUAUGGUUAAAAGGUAGGAAACAAAUACAUUGGAGUUUGAAAAGGUAAAAAGUCUUUAUAACUUUAUAUAAAUAUCUGUAAGAUUGACAAAAAAACUAAAGUCUUUUUGAAUCGAAGGGUGUAAAUCACAGGCAAACAGAACUGCAGCACUGAUCUCUAUUGUAUACCGGUCAUGAUUCAUCAACUGCUCUACUACCAAAAGGGCAACAAAAGUUCUCACCCUAGCCCUGAUUUGGUAGGGUUGAUGGAUCAGAACCACAACAGGAUAACACCAAACCUUCAAUCCAACCCAUUAAAAGGAAGAGACACCUGAUCACACAAUGCCACCACCCGCCAACAAGUUAGGCCCCCAAUUAGUUCCUAAAACUUUUUGGGAGAGGGGUCACAUCGGCGCGUACGGUUAUAUAUUUGAAGUAUUAAACGUUAGCCUGGAAACUGCGAAACGUAUCUUUUGAGUCUAAUUAAUCCGUCAUUAGCACAUGUUGGUUAUGUAGUACUUAUGGUGAAUCAUGUACUAAUUAGGCUUAAAAGAUUCGUUUCACGAUUUUCCUCGUAACUAUAGAAUUAGUUUUAAUAUUUAUGUAUAUUUAAUACUUUAUUUAUGUGUCUAAAUAUUCGAUGUGAUGUUUAUGGAAAAACUUUUGGAAACUAAACAUGCCUUAUACACAAGAGUAUAUGUCAGCUAGAGAGCAAUCAUAACUGAAAGUCCGAAACAGGGGCAUGGAUCGUCUGUAGUACUGCAUACUGCAGAUUGACAGGUGGGCCAUAUGGUCUUUUGGGCCCACCUGUCAGUCUGCAAUACUGCAUGUGCAGAGGAUCUGAAUUGUCGAAACAGACCUUCACCAAACUCCCUACGGUUUGAUUCAAAGAAGUAUGAUUAAUUGUAACUCAACUUCAGUACACCACACGACAAAAGGAGGUAGUUCAGCAGUUGCAACACGGCGCAUUAACCAUCUAGAUACUAUCGACUGCCCGAAAUUUUUUAUUUUUUAAACCUUUUUAAUAAAUAAUUUUAUUACUAAACCUCAAAGAAAAAUAUUUUCACCGUAUGAACCUUUUAGUCACGCCAGUGUUGGUGGCGUUGCAAAAUAACGCUGUCACGCAGAGAAUUUGGCGUGACAUGCGUGGCAGUGAUAUCUUGCCACGCCAAUAUGGGUGGCGUGGCCAAAAGAUUCAUAUGGUAAAAUAUUUUCUCCCAGGUUUAGUAAUAAAAUUAUUACUAAAAAUGUUUAAAAAAAUAAAAUAAAAAUUAUUGCUACUGCCCUCAUUUCUCCCCCAAAAUAACUACUCCCCUUUAAAAAAAACUAACGCAGUUGUCUGAUUAUUUAUCUUGCCACCACACGUCCAAAGUCUCAACAAUCCCUCCUUCCACAAACGCAUCCUCUGCUCCAGGAACAGCCACCACUCACUAAUGCUAUAAAAGGUAAAAACCCUCCCGACUAACAGUAUGAUUCCUGCAAAUCUGAUUAACUGCAACCCUACUGAGACGAGUAGCAAAACAUUACAUGAUACCCAUACCAUGCCACCGUUUCGUAAACUCUUUCCGAUACGCAGGUCAACUUCUGGCAAGAUGUGUCAUCUCCACUUGUCUGCAAAAGUGCUGCUUUACAUCGUACUCAUUAACAGGGAUUGAUGAAAUGAAUGAUUCAGUCCGAAUGAGUGCUAUAUUGUUUAGUCCAGGUACAUGUCUCAUACAUAAUCCAUUAAAAACCACAGGUCCAUGUUCCAACUGUGACACUGAACAUUAAGAAUGGUAAAACUUAUUAAAAGCUUGGUGGUAUUAAAAACUUUAGUAUCUUGAGUUACUUUCUCAAUUGCUGUAAAAUUUUCCAUAAUUCCAUAGCUGGAGAAAGCAGUCAUGUGUCUGACUUGUUCGGUCAACAGGAGAGAGCACUUAUGGUCAUCUCUGAAACCUAUAAUCAUUACACAUUGAGCGUUACCAACGGAGAACAUUUUUGUAAAGAGCCCUCUCCGAUGCAUUCUACUGGUAGUAUUAUACUACCAGUAGAACUAAUCUUAGUCAUUGAUUAAAAAUGAUAUUUUUAUACUUUGUUAAUUAAUUUAUUAUUAGUAUUUUGUAAUUUUGUUUUUGGCAAUAAAGAUGACAAUAAAAAUAAUAAUAUUAUCCCUUUAAAUUUAUACUACACGCCUAAUAUUGUUGAUAGUAUAAUUUAAUUAUAAUUGUUUGAUAAAAAUAGAUUAAGGAUGCUGAUUAAAUUAUAUUGACAGUAGAAUGUACCGGAGAUGCGCCAUUUUGUACAAACCAACUUGAACUGCAAUUUAUACUUAAGUGAAAAUCAAUUUUUUUUUUUGGUUUGAGGCCAUUGUAAAAUCGAUCUUUUGCCACACAACCGAUGCAAAUUUCAUCGUUAUCCCCAUGUUUAUGAGCCUAUUGAUGUUUGGAAUCACACCAUGUGGCAGAUUAUGAAAAUUUCCAAAUUACACACACCCAUAAACAGUAAUUCGAAGGGCUAUAGGUUCAUAUGGAUUGUGGGAUCUGAAAUCGCCAAGUCCCAAACAAAACGAAAUCCCAAGUCAGUCUCAACACUGACCGGACAAAAUUUCGUGUGACGAAGAAAGCGCAGUGACAGAGAGCUCACCCUCACCAGGUCGGGCAGGCUGCGAUGGGUGCCGCUAGGUCGACGUACCGCGGCGACUCGAACGGAGUUGGAUUUCACCCCUCAGGAUGGAGGAUGGCCACUCCGUCGUGCGGUGGCGCCAUCCCGUCGAACGGCUCCGCCGGCUUACGGCGAUCGGAGACGGCGGGGAGCGGGGUGGGGGUUGGGGCUCGGUGUAAGGUGUUCUUGCGAUGGUUAUAUGGACCUUUUGGGCCGG